AAAGUCGUAACAAGGUUUCCGUAGGUGAACCUGCGGAAGGAUCAUUACCUAGAGUUUGUAGACUUCGGUCUGCUACCUCUUACCCAUGUCUUUUGAGUACCUUCGUUUCCUCGGCGGGUCCGCCCGCCGAUUGGACAACAUUCAAACCCUUUGCAGUUGCAAUCAGCGUCUGAAAAAACAUAAUAGUUACAACUUUCAACAACGGAUCUCUUGGUUCUGGCAUCGAUGAAGAACGCAGCGAAAUGCGAUAAGUAGUGUGAAUUGCAGAAUUCAGUGAAUCAUCGAAUCUUUGAACGCACAUUGCGCCCCUUGGUAUUCCAUGGGGCAUGCCUGUUCGAGCGUCAUUUGUACCUUCAAGCUCUGCUUGGUGUUGGGUGUUUGUCUCGCCUCUGCGUGUAGACUCGCCUUAAAACAAUUGGCAGCCGGCGUAUUGAUUUCGGAGCGCAGUACAUCUCGCGCUUUGCACUCAUAACGACGACGUCCAAAAGUACAUUUUUACACUCUUGACCUCGGAUCAGGUAG
rnacentral:rRNA from 1 species